AGUGAACGCUGGCGGUAUGCCUAACACAUGCAAGUCGAACGGCAGCACAGUAAGAGCUUGCUCUUACGGGUGGCGAGUGGCGGACGGGUGAGGAAUACAUCGGAAUCUACUUUUUCGUGGGGGAUAACGUAGGGAAACUUACGCUAAUACCGCAUACGACCUACGGGUGAAAGCAGUGGAUCUUCGGACCUUUCGCGAUUGAAUGAGCCGAUGUCGGAUUAGCUAGUUGGCGGGGUAAAGGCCCACCAAGGCGACGAUCCGUAGCUGGUCUGAGAGGAUGAUCAGCCACACUGGAACUGAGACACGGUCCAGACUCCUACGGGAGGCAGCAGUGGGGAAUAUUGGACAAUGGGCGCAAGCCUGAUCCAGCCAUACCGCGUGGGUGAAGAAGGCCUUCGGAUUGUAAAGCCCUUUUGUUGGGAAAGAACAGCAGCAGGUUAAUACACCGAUGUUCUGACGGUACCCAAAGAAUAAGCAACGGCUAACUUCGUG
rnacentral:rRNA from 1 species